AGGUGCCUUUUAAGUUGCCUUUUGGGUCAACAAUAACCCACCAACUUUGGAGCAACCAAAGCCAUAACACAGGAGACAGAAGGAAGAAAAGAUCUCUGGGGAAAUCUGCAGAUUAAUCAAGAAAAGUCAGAGAAAGGGACUCUUCAAAUGUUUACUUGUGUGCCACCUCGUCAAUUCACCUGGCAUUUCCCCUGGGAACACCAACCACAAUUUAGGAAAUGGUCCCAUGCUAAAGGCUGUUUUUGGUAGCAAGAAGACUUGAUGGAAGAAAUGCUCAUUUGUUUCUGAGGGGAGACUCAAGCGAUGUUUCUCCAAAGCAGCUUCUUGCACCAGAGCUCAUCUCUGAUGAAAUUUUCAGUGAUCUGCAGUAGGGCUUCCAUUCAUCCUUUCUUGGGAGAAGGCUGUCUCUUUUGUUUGCUUUUUUUUUUCCUGUAAUUUUGUUCCUGAUAAGUAUGUACUUGUUAUUUUAUUUUUUAUUUUACAGAAUAGUGGGGAGAGUAUUUGGAAAGUUGUUCUUUACUAAAAUCUUUAGUUGGAUAAAACAGCAAACUGUAUACAUAUCCCUGUGCAUAUUGGGUGUAUUUCUGUAGGCUACUAUACAUGUGCAAAAAGAAGCACAUGCAAAAGGAAAUAAGGAAUGUUAAAUAAAUCUUGGUAGAAUCAUACUAAGGAGUUAUGUGGAGCAGUUUAAGAAGAAUGAGAUAGCGCUGCAUUGACACAGGAAAAUCACCGAGAUUAAGAGGGGGAAAAAAAAGAAAGUGACGUUGAAUAAAGGUACUGAAUGAUGCUGUCUAUAUAAAGAAACCAUCCAAAGUAUGUGCUUCUAUGUAGACUUAUGUAUGUAUGUAAGUGUAUAGAGAAAGAUCUGGAAGAUGAAACAAAGAUGAAACCAGUGUGAUCAGUUUGCUGUGCCUCCUUCAGAAAACACUGAGAUUAGAUGGAUGUCAUCGGAGACUUUUGCCUUAUCUAUACAGUUUAACAUUUUUUAAUAAGGAGCACAUGUAUAGUUGCCACUUAUACAAUUAGAAAAUAAAUGAAAACUUUUAAAGUGCCAAA
rnacentral:lncRNA from 1 species